CCCUCUUUUUGCGAGCACUGAGGACAGUGCUAGAUUUUAAGUGUGGGGGGGUGUUUGUUGAUCCUAUGGGUGCCUUUUUGUUGUGAUUUUGGGCUUUCUUGUGUGGGGCAAAUGGUCUCCUUUAUCUUGAUUGUUGUUUGGCUUCAAGUAAUAAUGCACACUUUGAUGAUUUGUUCACAAGUAAAUUUCAUGCUUUGUGUUGGCUUGGUUGCUAUCUUUGUCUCUCAGGCUAUGCAUAUUCCUCACUUGAUGUAAGUUGUUUAAUGUUUUGGAUGCAACACCCUUAUGAGCUAUUCUUGACGUGAUUUGUCCGGUAGAUGCUAGAGGGAGUGUUUUCGUUGUGAUAGCCUACGAUCUUAUCCCUUGAGUUUGAAUGUUGGUUUGUUGUGAAGUUUUCUAUAGCUUUGGGUCUCU
rnacentral:lncRNA from 1 species